AGCAUCAUAACCGAAAGUACUCGAUUGCUCCCAUCUUUUUAGAAUUCCACUAGUUUAUUUACUCCGCAAUUGUAUCUUCCUGUUUUUUCAAUUGCGUUAUGACGGUGAAGAUAAAAGAGAAGAAUUGAGUUGGGAGGGACCACUUCGGUUUUGAAAAAACCUGCAUUCGUCAACUUUGACAGGCUGUAAUGAAACGUUCUUAUUGACCAACUGUAGCAAACUGGAGACCCUGACUCUCUGCAUAUUUAGCCAACCGUGUCGUCCACGUUUAAUGACCCACCGAGAUCUCCGUUUGUUAGUUCUGGCUUCUAAACAUUUUCCAUCUCUUGCUGCCACUGCUUUUGCUGCUAUACUUUUCAAUUUUUGUUCCUUGAAGAGAAGAUCAAGUGAGAUCAAAUGGAGGGGAGGGCAAAAAAUAGACGCAUCUGUGAAAAUGAUGGGACAGCAGGAGGCGCUUCUUCUACUCACACUUCAACAGAAGGUCAAGGAAUGGCUACUUCAUCAGGAUAUGACUAUGAAGUAUUCUUGAGCUUUAGAGGACCAGAUACUCGAGCAGGUUUUACCGACUUCCUUUACACUAGUCUUAAAGAUGCAGGAAUCCGCACGUUUAAGGACGACGAAGAGCUCCGCGUUGGGGAAGAGUUUGCCCCGGAACUUCUCCAAGCAAUUAAUCAGUCGAAGAUCUCAAUACCUAUCUUUUCGAAAGGCUAUGCCUCUAGCGUAUGGUGUCUCAAGGAGUUAGUCCAGAUGGUCGAGUGCCAGAAAACUGGAAGACAAAAGAUCAUCCCUAUUUUUUAUGAUGUGGCGCCUUCAGAGGUUCGGCACCAAACAGAGGGUUAUGCACAGGCCUUUCUUGCACAUGAAAACAAGAAGCGACACGACGAAAAGACUAUUCAAGGGUGGAAGGAUGCUCUCAGUGCAGUGGGAGCAAUAAACGGAUGGGACCUGCAUAGCAAGAAGGAGAACAGGCGAGAAGGAGAGUUCGCAAAAGAACUUACCCAUAAGGUUUUCAGCGAGUUGAAAAAGGGUUAUCUAGCGGUAUCAGACUACUUGGUCCGUGUCGACAACCAUGUGGACGCAAUCAUGGAAAAGAUAGGUGCUGAGACAAGUGAAACACGGAUUAUAGGAAUCCACGGGAUGGGUGGCAUCGGAAAGACGACUAUUGCCAAAAUCAUCUACAAUAAGCUUAAAAAAAAUUUCGAGGGCUUUACCCAAAAAACCCAAAAAAAAAAAAAAUUCGAUGGUUGUUGCUUCCUUUCUAACGUCCGUGAAACCUCAAAACUCGAGGGCAUUCACCGCUUGCAGCAUCAGCUCAUCUCUGACAUCCUCAACACGAAAUGGAUGGAUAUAAGAAAUAUUGAUGAAGGGAUUAAGACCAUUAAAGACAGGUUGUCUAAUAAAAGAGUCCUCCUUCUUCUCGAUGAUGUGGCAGAAAAGGAUCAUAUGGAUGCACUUGUAGGAAAUGGUGAUUGGUUUGGUGAAGGGAGCAAACUAAUUAUUACUACAAGAAAGAAAGAUGUUCUCAUUGUUCCGGAAGUGGACUGCACUUAUGAGGUUAAUGGCAUGGAUGACUGUCAAUCUCUUCAACUCUUUAGCAAACAUGCUUUCAGAAGAGACUCUCCUUUGAUUGAGUAUAUUGACCAAUCCAAGAGGGCAAUAGGCAUUGCUAGAGGUCUUCCGCUAGCUCUUGAGGUCAUAGGUUCACUUUUAUCUCGCACUGAAAAGAAAAGCUGGGAUGACAUAUUGGAGAAGUUGGAAAAGGUUCCUCAUGUGGAUAUUCAGAGUAAGCUAAAAAUAAGUUAUGAUGCAUUAGAACUUCGACAACAACAUAUAUUCCUCGAUAUAGCUUGUUUUUUCAUUGGACAUGACAAAGACAUUGUGGUCCAUUUCUGGGAAAAAUCUAAAUUUUUUCCAAAAGUAGAUAUGGAAGUUCUGCAGAACAUGUCUUUGAUAAAGAUUGGAGAGUAUAAUAAAGUGUUGAUGCAUGACCAACUCAGAGAUUUCGGAAGAGAAAUGGCUCGUCAAGAAAGUAAGAUGAAAAUAGAGAAGCAAAGGAGGGUAUGGGAUCCCAAGGAAGCAUUGGAUUUGCUGAGGAGACGUAAGGGAAAAACAAAAGUUGAAGCUCUUCAUCUACACUUUGACCAUGAGCGGCAGUACCGUUUUACCCGUAAAGACUUUAAGAGAAUAUCAAAUGUGGGGUUUCUUCGAGUUAACUGUUGGGAGGAACAUUUUUGUGCUGAAGAGAGGCUUCUUUGGCACGAAUCACCAUCAAAUGUUCUUCCGGCUAAUGUUUUUCGGGAGAAUUCGUAUCUCCUUCCGCAUUUACGAUGGCUUUCUUGGCACGGUAUUCCCCCAACAUUUAACAUUGCAAAUUUCUCCAUGGAGAAUGUGGUUAUUCUUGAUCUAUCUGACAGUGAAAUUACGGAUGAUUGGAAGGGGUGGAGCCAUAUGGAGGUGAUGAAGAAUUUGAAAAUUUUGAAUUUGACCGGAUGCGAUUGCUUGGAGAGAACUCCCAUCUUCUCUGCUGAGGUAAAUUUAGAACGAUUGAUCCUAAAGGGCUGUGAAUCAUUAACUGAUAUUGAUAGGUCGAUUUGUCAUUUGAAAAGCCUAGUUUCCUUAGAUGUAAGCUCUUGUAACAAUCUUCGGAGGCUGCCAGACGAGCUAGGUAGAGAUCUUGCGAGCCUUGAAUACCUAUCUCUGAAAUGUUGCACAUCGUUCGAGAGGCUUCCGGAUACAAUCGGAAAUUUGGAAUCGCUGAUUGAGCUGGAUAUAUCCCAAACGGGGAUCAAAGAACUACCCAAUUCCAUCGGAAAUUUGGAAUCAUUGAUUGAGCUAGAUAUAUCCGAAACGGGGAUCAAAGAACUACCCGAUUCCAUCGGAAAUUUGGAAUCACUGAUUGAGCUGGAUAUAACCCAAACGGAGAUCAAAGAACUACCCGAUUCCAUCGGAAAGUUGAAAAAUUUGAAAGUAGCGAAGAUGGAUUUGAAUGACAUAAGUAAAAUACCCGAUGCCUUCUGGACAAUUGAGAAGCUCGAAGAAAUAGAUGUCCGAUUUACAGAGGAUUUCAAUGUGAAAGUGGAAAUUGGCAAUUGCAUCUAUAGAAAUCGAUCCCUAAGGAUCUUGAAAUUGCGGAAUGCUGCAAUAUACGUGGUACCGAGGCUUCCUGAAAGUCUUAUCAUUCUAAAGUUGUCUGACUUGCAUAUGGAUACGUUUCCGGAUCUCUCAAACCUGACUAAUUUAAAGGAAUUGAAGCUGUCGCUUAGCGAACAUGAUGCUGGUUGGGAAUCUGAUGGGCCUGUGCAAGAAUAUCCGAUGCCAGGGGGGAUUGGGAAUUUAAGCAAACUGGAGACUCUGGACCUAUGCUCUUCUCGUGUGACCCACUUAUCCACGGAUAUUAGUAGUCUCCUUCCUCAACUCCAAAGACUUGAACUCUGGUGCCCUAAUCUGCGUUGCCUCCCGAGCCUUCCCUCCAGUUUAUUAUCCUUGUAUUUGGGCUCUGAACACAUGACCGCCUUACCCAUAGAUAUCGGUCUCCUUCCGCGACUCCAAAAACUUGAUCUCUGGUGCCCUAAUCUGCGUUGCCUCCCAAGCCUUCCCUCUAGUUUAUUAUCCUUGGGUUUGCACUCUAAACACAUGACCGCCUUACCCACAGAUUGUAGGAGUCUCCUUCCCCGACUCCAAACACUUGAUCUCUGGUGCCCUAAUCUGCGUUGCCGCCUGAGCCUUCCCUCCAGUUUAUCAUUAUUGAGAUUGGAUGGUUGCAAGUCAUUUGUUUUCCCCGGGGAUCUAUCGAAUUUGACGAACCUAUCAAAUCUUUGGAUUACUGACUGUGUAAUCUCAGAGAUUCGAGGCCUUGAUGGUUCGGAGAACCCAGAUUUGCAGCUUUCGGAACUUCAACAGGUGUGGAUAUUACCUGAUCUAAGUAAUCUCAACCAACUACGGUAUCUUCAUCUGUGGAACUGCAGUAAUCUGGUUGAGAUUCAAGGCGAACUACCACAAUGUUUGGAAGAAUUGAGUAUUUUUGGAUGUGGAUCUUUACAGAAGUUGCCUGAUCUAUCAAGCUUGAAGGGACUGCGAUCUGUUGAUAUAUGGCAAUGCGGGAAAUUAAAUGUGGAGGCAAUUUCUUUGCUUUGCUCGGAGAAGGCAGUCAGAUUUGUGGGAGACAGAGACGAAUCAGAGGUACAAGAUGACGAAUCUGGAUACGAAUUUGAAUAUGGAUCUGAGGGAGAAGACUGACGGAUAAGUGCACGUUGCUCUUGAAAGCUUCUUGAUCGCCGACCACAAAUUGUUCCCUCGCGUGCAAACUUUAAACGAAUUGAGGAAAGAUGUGCUUCUUAGUGGGAUUUGCAAAUAUUAUGGAGAAGUCAUAAAAUGAAGAAAGAGGAAUUUUACUUGGGUAGCGGAUCAAUAGUUGGUGCAGCAAAACUUCCACCUCCAAGGAAAGGUGUGCUUCUUAGCGGGAUUUGCAAAUGUUAUGGAGAAGUUAUAAAAUGAAGAAAGAGGAAUUUCACUUGGGUAGCGGCAUCAAUAGUUGGUGUAGCAAAGCUUCCAUCUGUGACAGGAGAGGAGAACUAUUUAGCUUGGCCAAGGCACUGCCAUCCUUAAUGUGAGUUGAUCGGGUUGAAAUACUUCGCAGAAAGGGAUAACAUGCGUGAGGCCUCUGAUCGUUUCAACUUGAAGAGGUUCAACUGAUGCAAUGUCUGGCUUGCUUAGAAGAUUCAGCCAUUUCUUGAAAAAUUUAGAAGACAUGCUCAGCAGAGAAGUUCAUUUUCCAAUAAGAAGUGCAUGUGGUACUUGAAAGGUCCUGCAUCCAAAGCUAAGUCUGUUGUCAAGGAAGAUUUGAAACUUAAACAAAUUUCUUAUUGUCCUAUGUCAUCUCAAGAGAUAUUCACUGUAGUCUUUCCUGGGAUCGUUAUCUGUUAUACAUAAAUUACAAUCACACUUUGGCAAGUUGACAUGAAAUCUAUUGUUGUAGGCAUAGUUAUUACUGGCUGUUUUUGCAGCCGUUUUCUACCUUUAAGAUGGACGUUGUAAACUGCUCAUGAAAUGGGACCGUGGUUUCUUUUGAUCUA